UCCAUCUGCUGCGAUUCUUAGCUUCAUG
rnacentral:sRNA from 1 species